AACGAACGCUGGCGGCAUGCCUAACACAUGCAAGUCGAACGAGACCUUCGGGUCUAGUGGCGCACGGGUUCGUAACGCGUGGUAACCUGCCCUUAGGUUCGGAAUAACUCCCCGAAAGGGGUGCUAAUACCGGUUAAUGUCUUCUGACCAAAGAUUUAUCGCCUUUGGAUGGGCCCGCGUUGGAUUAGAUAGUUGGUAGGGUAAAAGCCUACCAAGGCGACGAUCCAUAGCUGGUCUGAGAGGAUGAUCAGCCACACUGGGACUGAGAAACGGCCCAGACUACUACGGGAGGCAGGAGUGGGGAAUAGAGGAAAAUGGGCGAAAGCAUGAUACAGCAAUGACGCGUGAGUGAUGAAGGCAUGAGGGUAGUAAAGCUCUUUUACACGGGAUGAUAAUGACAGUAACGGGAGAAUAAGCACCGGCUAACUACGUG
rnacentral:rRNA from 1 species